UACGUAGGGUGCGAGCGUUGUCCGGAAUUAUUGGGAGUAAAGGGCUCGUAGGCGGUCUGUCGCGUCGGGAGUGAAAACUCAGGGCUUAACCCUGAGCCUGCUUCCGAUACGGGCAGACUAGAGGUAUGCAGGGGAGAACGGAAUUCCUGGUGUAGCGGUGGAAUGCGCAGAUAUCAGGAGGAACACCGGUGGCGAAGGCGGUUCUCUGGGCAUUACCUGACGCUGAGGAGCGAAAGUGUGGGGAGCGAACAGG
rnacentral:rRNA from 1 species